rnacentral:rRNA from 1 species
AUUGAACGCUGGCGGCAGGCCUAACACAUGCAAGUCGAGCGGAGCGGCGGACGGGUGAGUAAUGCCCAGGAAUCUGCCUGGUAGUGGGGGAUAACGUCCGGAAACGGGCGCUAAUACCGCAUACUAUCAGAUGAGCCUAGGUCGGAUUAGCUAGUUGGGGGGGUAAAGGCCUACCAAGGCGACGAUCCGUAACUGGUCUGAGAGGAUGAUCAGUCACACGGGAACUGAGACAGGGUCCAGACUCCUGCGUGAGGCAGCAGUGGUGAAUAUUGGACAAUGGGGGAAAGCCUGAUCCAGCCAUGCCGCGUGUGUUAAGAAGGUCGUCGGGGUGUAAAGCACUUUAAGUUGGGAGGCGGUACCAGCAGAAUAAGCACCGGCUAACUUCGUGCCAGCAGCCGCGGUAAUUC